GACGAACGCUGGCGGCGUGCCUAAUACAUGCAAGUUGAGCGAUGAAGAUUGGUGCUUGCACCAAUUUGAAGAGCAGCGAACGGGUGAGUAACGCGUGGGGAAUCUGCCUUUGAGCGGGGGACAACAUUUGGAAACGAAUGCUAAUACCGCAUAACAACUUUAAACAUAAGUUUUAAGUUUGAAAGAUGCAAUUGCAUCACUCAAAGAUGAUCCCACGUUGUAUUAGCUAGUUGGUGAGGUAAAGGCUCACCAAGGCGAUGAUACAUAGCCGACCUGAGAGGGUGAUCGGCCACAUUGGGACUGAGACACGGCCCAAACUCCUACGGGAGGCAGCAGUAGGGAAUCUUCGGCAAUGGACGAAAGUCUGACCGAGCAACGCCGCGUGAGUGAAGAAGGGUUUCGGAUCGUAAAACUCUGUUGGUAGAGAAGAACGUUGGUGAGAGUGGAAAGCUCAUCAAGUGACGGUAACUACCCAGAAAGGGACGGCUAACUACGUG
rnacentral:rRNA from 1 species